rnacentral:piRNA from 1 species
UGGACAUGCUUUUCUUGGGAGAAAAGGGGU